UACGAAGGGGGCUAGCGUUGCUCGGAAUCACUGGGCGUAAAGCGCACGUAGGCGGAUUCCUAAGUCGGGGGUGAAAUCCUGGAGCUCAACUCCAGAACCGCCUUCGAUACUGGGAAUCUUGAGUCCGGAAGAGGUGAGUGGAACUGCGAGUGUAGAGGUGAAAUUCGUAGAUAUUCGCAAGAACACCAGUGGCGAAGGCGGCUCACUGGUCCGGUACUGACGCUGAGGUGCGAAAGCGUGGGGAGCAAACAGG
rnacentral:rRNA from 1 species